rnacentral:rRNA from 1 species
GACGAACGCUGGCGGCGUGCUUAACACAUGCAAGUCGAACGGAAAGGCCCUGCUUUUGUGGGGUGCUCGAGUGGCGAACGGGUGAGUAACACGUGAGUAACCUGCCCUUGACUUUGGGAUAACCUCAGGAAACUGGGGCUAAUACCGGAUAGGAGCUCCUGCUGCAUGGUGGGGGUUGGAAAGUUUCGGCGGUUGGGGAUGGACUCGCGGCUUAUCAGCUUGUUGGUGGGGUAGUGGCUUACCAAGGCUUUGACGGGUAGCCGGCCUGAGAGGGUGACCGGCCACAUUGGGACUGAGAUACGGCCCAGACUCCUACGGGAGGCAGCAGUGGGGAAUAUUGCACAAUGGGCGGAAGCCUGAUGCAGCAACGCCGCGUGCGGGAUGACGGCCUUCGGGUUGUAAACCGCUUUCGCCUGUGACGAAGCGUGAGUGACGGUAAUGGGUAAAGAAGCACCGGCUAACUACGUGCCAGCAGCCGCGGUGAUACGUAGGGUGCGAGCGUUGUCCGGAUUUAUUGGGCGUAAAGGGCUCGUAGGUGGUUGAUCGCGUCGGAAGUGUAAUCUUGGGGCUUAACCCUGAGCGUGCUUUCGAUACGGGUUGACUUGAGGAAGGUAGGGGAGAAUGGAAUUCCUGGUGGAGCGGUGGAAUGCGCAGAUAUCAGGAGGAACACCAGUGGCGAAGGCGGUUCUCUGGGCCUUUCCUGACGCUGAGGAGCGAAAGCGUGGGGAGCGAACAGGCUUAGAUACCCUGGUAGUCCACGCUGUAAACGGUGGGUACUAGGUGUGGGGUCCAUUCCACGGGUUCCGUGCCGUAGCUAACGCUUUAAGUACCCCGCCUGGGGAGUACGGCCGCAAGGCUAAAACUCAAAGGAGUUGACGGGGCCCCGCACAAGCGGCGGAGCAUGCGGAUUAAUUCGAUGCAACGCGUAGAACCUUACCUGGGUUUGACAUGGAUCGGGAGUGCUCAGAGAUGGGUGUGCCUCUUUUGGGGUCGGUUCACAGGUGGUGCAUGGCUGUCGUCAGCUCGUGUCGUGAGAUGUUGGGUUAAGUCCCGCAACGAGCGCAACCCUUGUUCACUGUUGCCAGCACGUUAUGGUGGGGACUCAGUGGAGACCGCCGGGGUCAACUCGGAGGAAGGUGGGGAUGACGUCAAGUCAUCAUGCCCCUUAUGUCCAGGGCUUCACGCAUGCUACAAUGGCUGGUACAGAGAGUGGCGAGCCUGUGAGGGUGAGCGAAUCUCGGAAAGCCGGUCUCAGUUCGGAUUGGGGUCUGCAACUCGACCUCAUGAAGUCGGAGUCGCUAGUAAUCGCAGAUCAGCAACGCUGCGGUGAAUACGUUCCCGGGGCU